rnacentral:rRNA from 1 species
GGGUUGUGAGGUUAAGCGACUAAGCGUACACGGUGGAUGCCCUGGCAGUCAGAGGCGAUGAAGGACGUGCUAAUCUGCGAUAAGCGUCGGUAAGGUGAUAUGAACCGUUAUAACCGGCGAUUUCCGAAUGGGGAAACCCAGUGUGAUUCGUCACACUAUCAUUAACUGAAUCCAUAGGUUAAUGAGGCGAACCGGGGGAACUGAAACAUCUAAGUACCCCGAGGAAAAGAAAUCAACCGAGAUUCCCCCAGUAGCGGCGAGCGAACGGGGAGCAGCCCAGAGCCUGAAUCAGUGUGUGUGUUAGUGGAAGCGUCUGGAAAGGCGUGCGAUACAGGGUGACAGCCCCGUACACAAAAAUGCACAUAUUGUGAGCUCGAUGAGUAGGACGGGACACGUGGUAUCCUGUCUGAAUAUGGGGGGACCAUCCUCCAAGGCUAAAUACUCCUGACUGACCGAUAGUGAACCAGUACCGUGAGGGAAAGGCGAAAAGAACCCCGGCGAGGGGAGUGAAAAAGAACCUGAAACCGUGUACGUACAAGCAGUGGGAGCACGCUUAGGCGUG